CGCGGGGCGGGGGCGGGGCCCGGAGGGGCCGGUGCCGCUGAGGGGCCGUGGGGGCGGCAGAGCGGGAGCGGCGGCGGCGGGGCGGGCGCGGGGGGCGGGUUCGGGUUCUGGUUCUGGUUCUGGUGGAGGAGUGACCCCCCCGGCGAGGGAGUGACCGGCCCCCGGCGGGGGACUGACAGAGUCCCCGUGGGGGAGUGGCCCCGGGAGUGUGGGUGGGUGCGUUCUUUCCUUGCCGUGGGUGGGAUCGGGCCUGGAAGGGAGCCAGCCGUGUGGGCAGAGGGGAGCGGCGAGCCGCCUUCCCCUCACAUCGCUUCUGAAAAGAAGCCUACGGGCUACUAGAGGGAGUGGCCUUCAAAUGGGACAGUGGGGACUCGGAUUACAUAUUAAAUCUUUUCGCUGUUGGGGUGGUCAGGCGUUGGCACAGGUUGCCCAGGGAGGUGGUGGUUGCAGAGGGUACGGUCAGGCUCAGUCAAUGUCCAGAUAAUGGAUCAGGGUGGCAGCGAUGAGGCACGUCGAGCCGGGAAGUCAGUCCGUAGUCCAGAUUAUAGGAUGAUGAUCUUUACCAUAAGAAGUGUUUGAUCAGCCCGAAAGAAAGCUGUAGUGCAUGUUGCACAGAGAGAAUCAGGUGUUGCUGAGAUAAAGUCUCAAUGUGUGCAUCAAAUCAAAAGCUGGCUUUACUUUUAGAUGAUGGAUACAGAUCUAUGUUAUGGCUACUGGACAGACAGGAGUCCCUGCUCCCCCAGAGCCACGUCGAUCUGCAGAACCUGCUUGUGGCUGAGGAUGCAGAUGGCCAGGAAAGUCCUGGAAGUAAAUGCAGAGGUCAGCCCAGUGCAAGAUGAUUUUUCCAGAGACAAGUGUCCCAGUAGCAAGAGUCUUGGAGCUACUAAUUGUCAGCCCAGAGCUCCCAUGGCACUCUGGCUGUUCCAAGGAGGGAACACUCCGUGCUUUGCAGCGGACAUGAUCCACAUGAAACCAAGGAGGUUCCUCCAUCUUCAGGAAGCUCCCCUGACAUGGCUUCUGACUUCCAGGAAAGUGUUUACCCAUGGCGGUCAGAUCUCCUUAGGAGCAUGUGUGUUAAAUAAAUUUGGAUUUUCCCAGAGAACUGAGUGUUCCCACUGUUCUGGAUUUGAGUGGGAUUCCUUUCUUCCCAGGAACUGGCACAGCGCUGCGUUUGGAUGCAGGAUGGGAAUGCUCUGGAUCACGGGUGGAUAGUUUGGUUGUUGCUAAGCAGGGCUUGCCCUCCUCAAGGACUCUGCAGGGUCCUAGAGGCCACUCCAUGUCCCAUACUCUGCUGUCGAGGAGGUGACAAAGAGCCUGGAGGGAUCAUGUCCAGGACAGCCGACCCAGACUGGCCAGAGGGAUAUUCCAG
rnacentral:lncRNA from 1 species